GAUGAACGCUGGCGGCGUGCCUAACACAUGCAAGUCGAGCGAACGGACGCGAAUCUUGCUUCUCUGAUGUUAGCGGCGGACGGGUGAGUCACACGUGGAUACCCUACCUAUCAGACUGGUAUAACUUCGGAAAACCGUAGCUUAUACCGUAGAAUCUUUUGCACCGCAUUGUGCACAAGUUAAAUACGGUCGUGGUGUCAGUUCUAGAUGGUUCCGCGCUGCAUGAGCUGGUUGGUAAGGUCACGGCUUACCAAGGCAACGAUGCAUGGCCGACCGGAUAGGAGGGUCGGCCACACGGGAAGUGAGACACGGUCCAGACUCCUGCGGUAGGGAGCAGUAGGGAAUCUUCCGCAAUGGGCGAGAGCCUGACAGAGCAACGCCGCGUGAGUGAUGACGGUCUUCGGUUCGUAAAACUCUGUUAUGAGGGAAGAACAUAUGUGUAAGUAGCUGUGCACAGCUUGACGGUACCUAAUAAGAAAGCCACGGCUAACUACGUG
rnacentral:rRNA from 1 species